CAGAAACACCUAAUAAGAGUAAAGGCAAAGAGUUCCUGAAUAUAUCACAUGUGAUAAACAUGAAGAUGUAUGAAAAAUUGUGUUCGUUGAGAGAAAAUGGAAGGCUUUUCAUUCUACUUCCACAUUUUCAUUCCAGCAGCUUUUCUGUUUUGGAAGACAAGGAAAAUGAAGCGCAGAGACGUUAAAUAACUCUCUCAAGGUCAUGCAGCUGAGAAGAGAUGAGACUUGAACUCCAGUGCCAGCCCUGUUAAUCACUAUUCUGUACUGUCUUUCAGGUUCUUAUGCCUUUGUUUGAAAAACAUGGUUCCCUGUGAAAUUUUACAUGUAGAAGACAGCUUCACACUACGAGAGCUCUCAGGAUAUAAUUAUUUCAGACAGAUGCUGGGAACAUAAGAUGGCUUAUCAAUCUAAGAUGGCCUUCCUGUCCUUCGGAUUGAACUGAAACCAUCCCUGAUUCCAGGGAUAGGUAGAUGAUCCAGGUUUGGACAAUCGAAAUAUUGAACCACCCUGGACCUACAAGUGUUUCUGGGAUGGGAACGUGCAAACGUUGGUCCAAAUUGUUGUUCUAGGCAGCCCAGUACAUUUCUCCAAUGCCUGAUGGAAUGAUAGGGUACGCAUAAAUGUUCAUGUGGGCUCUGGAGUAUACCAGGAACUGAAGUAAGGUACAUGGACGUCUUGAAUAUUGUAACUGAGAUGGGCAAGCCUACACCUUUGCAAAUAAAGGAGGAUUGGGAAAGAUUAAGAAUGAUUGAGUCUCAGAAUUGUUCUUUAAUCCUCAGUAUUUCCUUUAAGAAGAGCUUCUAUCAAGUGCUUCAAAAGUACCCAAUGUGAAGGAGUAAUAACGACUCCCCUGCUGGUGAGCGAAG
rnacentral:lncRNA from 1 species